GAAUCAACGCUGGCGGCGUGCCUAACACAUGCAAGUCGAACGCGAAAGCCCGCAAGGGUAAGUAGAGUGGCGCACGGGUGAGUAACACGUGGACAACCUGCCUUCGAGUGGGAAUAACCUUCCGGAAAGGGGGGCUAAUACCGCAAUAAAACCUCGGAACACAAGUUCUGGGGUUGAAAAGAGCAAUUUGCUCGAAGGAGGGGUCCGCGCCUGAUUAGCUAGUUGGUGAGGUAACGGCUCACCAAGGCUUCGAUCAGUAGCCGUCCUGAGAGGGAGCACGGCCACACUGGAACUGAGACACGGUCCAGACUCCUACGGGAGGCAGCAGUGGGGAAUUUUUGGCAAUGGGACGAAAGCCUGACCAAGCAACGCCGCGUGGGUGAUGAAGUAUCUUGGUACGUAAAACCC
rnacentral:rRNA from 1 species